rnacentral:rRNA from 1 species
AUACGUAGGGGGCAAGCGUUAUCCGGAAUUACUGGGUGUAAAGGGAGAGUAGGCGGCAUGGUAAGUUAGAUGUGAAAGCCCGGGGCUUAACCUCGGGAUUGCAUUUAAAACUAUCAAGCUAGAGUACAGGAGAGGUAAGUGGAAUUCCUAGUGUAGCGGUGAAAUGCGUAGAUAUUAGGAAGAACAUCAGUGGCGAAGGCGACUUACUGGACUGAAACUGACGCUGAGGCUCGAAAGCGUGGGGAGCGAACAGGAUUAGAUACCCUGGUAGUCCACGCCGUAAACGAUGAGUGCUAGGUGUCGGGGGGGAACCCUCGGUGCCGCCGUUAACACAAUAAGUACCCCGCCUGGGGAGUACGGUCGCAAGAUUAAA